UACAGGGGGAGCAAGCGUUGUUCGGAUUUACUGGGCGUAAAGGGCGCGUAGGCGGCCAGCACAAGUCAGUUGUGAAAUCUCCGAGCUUAACUCGGAAAGGUCAACUGAUACUGUGCGGCUAGAGUGCGGAAGGGGCAACUGGAAUUCUUGGUGUAGCGGUGAAAUGCGUAGAUAUCAAGAGGAACACCUGCGGCGAAGGCGGGUUGCUGGGCCGACACUGACGCUGAUGCGCGAAAGCCAGGGGAGCGAACGGG
rnacentral:rRNA from 1 species